GACGGAGGGUGCAAGCGUUGUUCGGAAUUACUGGGCGUAAAGGGCGCGUAGGCGGUCUGUUAAGUUCGGUGUGAAAGCCCCCGGCUCACCUGGGGAACUGCGCCGGAAACCGACAGACUCGAGUACCGGAGAGGAGGGUGGAAUUCCUGGUGUAGCGGUGAAAUGCGUAGAUAUCAGGAGGAACACCAGUGGCGAAGGCGGCUCACUGGUCCGGUACUGACGCUGAGGUGCGAAAGCGUGGGGAGCAAACAGG
rnacentral:rRNA from 1 species